UACGAAGGGGGCUAGCGUUGUUCGGAAUUACUGGGCGUAAAGCGUGCGCAGGCGGCUUCUCAAGUCAGGGGUGAAAGCCCAGAGCUCAACUCUGGAAUUGCCUUUGAGACUGAGAGGCUUGAGUACGAGAGAGGUGAGUGGAACUCCUAGUGUAGAGGUGGAAUUCGUAGAUAUUAGGAAGAACACCAGUGGCGAAGGCGGCUCACUGGUCCGGUACUGACGCUGAGGUGCGAAAGCGUGGGGAGCAAACAGG
rnacentral:rRNA from 1 species